GAUGAACGCUAGCGGCAGGCCUAAUACAUGCAAGUCGAGGGGUAGAAGAGGCUUGCUUCUUUGAGACCGGCGCACGGGUGCGUAACGCGUAUGCAACCUACCUUCAUCUGGGGGAUAGCCCGGAGAAAUCCGGAUUAAUACCGCAUAAAAUCACAGGAUGGCAUUAUCCAAUGAUCAAACAUUUAUGGGAUGGAGAUGGGCAUGCGUGUCAUUAGCUAGUUGGCGGGGUAACGGCCCACCAAGGCGACGAUGACUAGGGGAUCUGAGAGGAUGGCCCCCCACACUGGUACUGAGACACGGACCAGACUCCUACGGGAGGCAGCAGUAAGGAAUAUUGGUCAAUGGAGGCAACUCUGAACCAGCCAUGCCGCGUGCAGGAAGACUGCCCUAUGGGUUGUAAACUGCUUUUAUUCGGGAAUAAACCUUAUUACGUGUAAUAAGCUGAAUGUACCGAAGGAAUAAGGAUCGGCUAACUCCGUGCCAGCAGCCGCGGUAACAC
rnacentral:rRNA from 1 species